rnacentral:lncRNA from 1 species
GAUCCAUCAGACCGGCGAUGAUCGCACCACGCAACGACUCAGCAAUUUUUUUUCCUCUCUCUUGUAAUAAACCUCUUCACCAGCAGUUAAUGAAUAUAUCAAGUUAUUCGGCCAAAGACACCAACGAGAUCGGGGUUCUACCAGGAAAGCACGCAAACGAAAUUAAAGAGCGAGGAAAAACGAGUACUCACUCGUCGUAGUCACCAACUCGUUGAGUGUCCGUCCGUCUCCGAAUUUGCGCUCGGCCGUCGUUCUAUUGAUCUGGAUGUUGGCGUUAUCCGCUCAUCGACGCUCGGGGAGAGUUCCAGUUUGUCUGUCCUCUUUACUAGGGACGGUACGAUCAGUACGAUCAGGGCGAUCGUACCCGAUCGGUUCGGAUGUAUCAAAGGCGCCUAACCUUAAAUGACUCGCGUUGUACUAGUAAGUUGGCGGCCGUACCGGUCACCGAAGCUGUCACGACGAUUACUAACGUAGCAGCAUCCGACGGAUUCAUGGGUUACUUAUUGGUGGUUUUGGCCUCUUUUCGAUAAGCGUCUGAAGCGGACAACGAGGAUAGAAGGUAUGUCACCUGGUUUGUAAGGUUCGCUAGGCUACUCGGUGAUGUGUUCCACGAAGUUCGAAGGCACACAACGAUAAUGCGCAGAUUUUUUCUGCUAGCGUUUGCUUGUUCAAAACCCGUCGUGCGAACGGGUAACUUCACAUCCUCAAGGCAGCUACGAGAAGGACCAACGAAAGGCGGCUGAAUAUGUUAAUGAAUCUUAAAGAUAUUUAGAUUUUUUUUCUAACGUAAA